GACGAACGCUGGCGGCGUGCUUAACACAUGCAAGUCGAACGGAAAGGCCCUGCUUUUGUGGGGUGCUCGAGUGGCGAACGGGUGAGUAACACGUGAGUAACCUGCCCUUGACUUUGUGAUAACUUCAGGAAACUGUGGCUAAUACCGGAUAGGAGCUCCUGCUGCAUUGUGUUGGUUGGAAAGUUUCGGCGGUUGGGGAUGUACUCGAGGCUUAUCAGCUUGUUGGUGGGGUAGUGGCUUACCAAGGCUUUGACGGGUAGCCGGCCUGAGAGGGUGACCGGGGAAAUUGGGACUGAGAUAAGGAACAGACUGAUACGGGAGGCAGCAGUGGGGAAUAUUGCACAAUGGGCGGAAGGCUGAUGCAGCAAAGCCGCGUGCGGGAUGACGGCCUUCGGGUUGUAAACCGAUUUCGCAUGUGACGAAGCGAGAGUGACGGUAAUGGGUAAAGAAGCACCGGCUAACUACGUG
rnacentral:rRNA from 1 species